GAUGAACGCUGGCGGCGUGCCUAAUACAUGCAAGUCGAGCGAACUGAUUAGAAGCUUGCUUCUAUGACGUUAGCGGCGGACGGGUGAGUAACACGUGGGCAACCUGCCCGUAAGACUGGGAUAACCUCGGGAAACCGAAGCUAAUACCGGAUAGGAUCUUCUCCUUCAUGGGAGAUGAUUGAAAGAUGGUUUCGGCUAUCACUUACAGAUGGGCCCGCGGUGCGUUAGCUAGUUGGUGAGGUAACGGCUCACCAAGGCAACGAUGCAUAGCCGACCUGAGAGGGUGAUCGGCCACGCGGGGACUGAGACACGGCCCAGACUCCUACGGGAGGCAGCAGUAGGGAAUCUUCCGCAAUGGACGAAAGUCUGACGGAGCAACGCCGCGUGAGUGAUGAAGGCUUUCGGGUCGUAAAACUCUGUUGUUAGGGAAGAACAAGUACGAGAGUGACUGCUCGUACCUUGACGGUACCUAACCAGAAAGCCACGGCUAACUACGUGCCAGCCGCCGCCGUAAGAC
rnacentral:rRNA from 1 species